CUUCCAUAAACCAUGCGACACGUCACAUACAUAAUAAUUUAAAAAUAUGUACCAAAAUGGUGCCUCUGUAGGUUCAAUGGUUCGAGCCUGUAAAAGCAGAUGCAGGUUUGACGACGAACGCUGGCGGAACACGGCGAAAAGUCGACUAAGACGGCUCAUAUUAGGAAUUCAUUCGUGAGUAUCAGUAAACGUGGAAGGGAAAGAGGAGAAGAGGGAUAAAAAAAGAGCAAGUAAAGAUGUCGGCUGCGUUAUGUAACGCUCACCCCAUGUCAGUGCUGUCUCCUCGCUAGCCUUUCUCAGUGUCCACCUCCUCGGCGCCGUCCUUCUCUUUCCUUUCCUAUUCCCACGUUGCAUAACUGCGUGACGCAGGGUGAAUUUAGAAAUUUCUUACCUUUUUCACGAGGUUGUGGUCGGCGGAGACGCAGAACGCGACGCCCUCCCUCUAGAUGCCCUCCUCCGAUGCUCCUGGUGGAUGCUAGCCCGCCGCCUCCUCCCAUCCAUCCACCCUCCUCCUCCUCCUCCUCCAGCGGUUCCGGGGCUGAAGUCUCUCCUGUUUCAUGACCACGGUGGAUUAGCUCGUGCAGCUACUGGAAACAAACAAAAUCACUCAUGACAGUGUGGUGAAAAAACGGUUUGUGGUUGGGAGACUAGAUGGGUUGCACGCGAGGCGAGAACAGACAGUGUUGGACUAAGAAGAGACAAAGAAGAGGAAGACAACCAAUGAGAUUCAUGACCAAUAUGAAGGAGACAACGUCUGGAACAAGAAGCCUCGGCUGUUCCUUGGCGCCAGAGGAUUGCCCUCCGAUAUGGAUGCGAGUUUCUGCAGGACGGAGCGAGGUUGGCUGAGGAGGGAGCCGCGCUUCACCUGGAGG